rnacentral:tRNA from 1 species
GGGCCGAUAGCUCAGUCGGUAGAGCAUAUCCCUUUUAAGGAUAGGGUCGAUGGUUCGAGUCCAUCUCGGCUCACCA